CAGUCGCGCGGUAAUACGUAGGUGGCAAGCGUUGUCCGGAAUUAUUGGGCGUAAAGCGCGCGCAGGCGGAUCAGUUAGUCUGUCUUAAAAGUUCGGGGCUUAACCCCGUGAGGGGAUGGAAACUGCUGAUCUAGAGUAUCGGAGAGGAAAGUGGAAUUCCUAGUGUAGCGGUGAAAUGCGUAGAUAUUAGGAAGAACACCAGUGGCGAAGGCGACUUUCUGGACGAAAACUGACGCUGAGGCGCGAAAGCCAGGGGAGCGAACGGGAUUAGAUACCCGGGUAGUCCCUGUCUCUUAUACAC
rnacentral:rRNA from 1 species